UGUUCUGUGGCUUGGUUGGUUAAAGCGCCGGUCGAGCUAAUACGUGGGUUCGAAUCCCACCAGAACGC
rnacentral:tRNA from 1 species